rnacentral:rRNA from 1 species
CUGGCUCAGGACGAACGCUGGCGGCGUGCCUAACACAUGCAAGUCGAGCGAGGAGAUCCUCGGGAUGAUCCUAGCGGCGGACGGGUGAGUAACACGUGGGCAACCUGCCUCAUAGAGAGGAAUAGCCUUCCGAAAGGGAGAUUAAUACCUCAUAACAUUGCAGUUUCGCAUGGAACAGCAAAUUAAAGGAGUAAUCCACUAUGAGAUGGGCCCGCGGCGCAUUAGCUAGUUGGUGAGGUAAUGGCUCACCAAGGCGACGAUGCGUAGCCGACCUGAGAGGGUGAUCGGCCACAUUGGGACUGAGACACGGCCCAGACUCCUACGGGAGGCAGCAGUGGGGAAUAUUGCACAAUGGGGGAAACCCUGAUGCCAGCAACGCCGCGUGAGUGAUGACGGCCUUCGGGUUGUAAAGCUCUGUCUUCAGGGACGAUAAUGACGGUACCUGAGGAGGAAGCCACGGCUAACUACGUGCCAGCCGCCGC